rnacentral:rRNA from 1 species
CCUACGGGGGGCAGCAGUAGGGAAUCUUCCACAAUGGGCGAAAGCCUGAUGGAGCAGCGCCGCGUGGGUGAAGAAGGUCUUCGGAUCGUAAAACCCUGUUGUUAGAGAAGAAGGUGCGUGAGAGUAACUGUUCACGUUUCGACGGUAUCUAACCAGAAAGCCACGGCUAACUACGUGCCAGCAGCCGCGGUAAUACGUAGGGGGCGAGCGUUGUCCGGAAUGACUGGGCGUAAAGGGAGUGUAGGCGGCAAUAUAAGUUAGAUGUGAAAUCCCGCGGCUCAACCGCGGAACUGCAUCUAAAACUA